rnacentral:rRNA from 1 species
CAGCCGCCACGGUAAUACGUAGGGUGCAAGCGUUAAUCGGAAUUACUGGGCGUAAAGCGUGCGCAGGCGGUUAUAUAAGUCAGAUGUGAAAUCCCCGGGCUCAACCUGGGAACUGCAUUUGAGACUGUAUGGCUAGAGUGUGUCAGAGGGGGGUAGAAUUCCACGUGUAGCAGUGAAAUGCGUAGAUAUGUGGAGGAAUACCGAUGGCGAAGGCAGCCCCCUGGGGUAACACUGACGCUCAUGCACGAAAGCGUGGGGAGCAAACAGGAUUAGAGACCCGCGUAGUCCCUGUCUCUUAUAC